GCUGCUAGUAAUCGUGGAUCAGAAUGCCACGGUGAAUACGUUCCCGGGCCUUGUACACACCGCCCGUCACACCAUGGGAGUGGGUUGCAAAAGAAGUAGGUAGCUUAACCUUCGGGAGGGCGCUUACCACUUUGUGAUUCAUGACUGGGGUGAAGUCGUAACAAGGUAACCGUAGGGGAACCUGCGGUUGGAUCACCUCCUUA
rnacentral:rRNA from 1 species